UUGGGUUGAGAUGAUGUGCCUCACCAAGAAAAUGAAUAUUAAAAGUAGAAAACUGUUGGUUGUCCCGCGCGAGACUUCCCGCCGGCAGGAAACCCGCGGGUACAUAGAAAUCCUUACUGUGACCAACUUUAUUAAUCUUAGAAGAGGAAGGGCCCGCCGCGCCAACAUGGCGCGCUUAUAAACACUCUAGUGCGGCGCAUCCACACCUGAUUGGUUGUUUACCCAUGAUCUCAUAAGGCACGCCCCGGAGUGGGCAAAGACCUGGCACGAAGGCACUCUUGCACAUGCGCACAGUUAACUUCCUGAAAGGGAGCCGGCUGGCGGGGCGAAGGCUGGUGCCAUCUUUUAAUGGCAGAGGCUAUCCUGGCCUUCUACGUGGGGUGCAGUGGAAGCCAGCGCCAUCUAGUGGUGGCGAAUGUUGUUGCGGCCCUCUACAGUUGGUUGGGAAAUCACUAAAAAAAAUUGUUAAUUUUGUUCUUAAAUUGUACAUGACUGACAUAAUGUGCAUGGAUUAACCCUUUAACGUCAAUGUAAGUUCCAACAGGUAUACAUAUGACAAGCACAGUAAUUUCCCAUCAAAUUCAAACCAGCUUCUAAAUAGAAGGACACUCAAGACCACACAAUGUGAACUUUGAAGAAGCACAAGGGAGAAGUAACUCAUGAGCAAAUAUCAAGACAAAGCUGAAGGAAUGAUGGAGCCCAACUACAAACCAAGUACAGUCUGCAGACUAUUUGCAAGGUGGACAAUUUCUGCUCAGAAAUACAAAAACAUGUCCUGAGCGAAGUGGUGGAGAUAGAAGGGAAGUUAACCUGAGAACUGGUUGGGAAUAAAAGUAAAUCAGUUUUGAAACAAAGUCUCCAGGAUUAGCUGUUAACAACUUAGGAUAUAGGAGCUUGCCAGUAAACCCAGAGAUUUACAUCUCAGUAGGAUUACAGGUAUGCAACAUCACAGGUGCGUAAAGUUUUUAAAUAUCUUUUAUUCUUUUUGGAAUCAAACUCAAUGUCCUCCUGCUUCCAUGUACCUUAUUGAUUAAGCCAUGAUUCAAUGAUUGUAGAACGAUUACGAUGAUUUCAUUAUAUCUCCUAGGAAUGUUGGGUUUUAGACUCUGUUUAGUCACUAUACGUUAUCCUUCAUGGAGAACGCUAUGGAUAUUUAUGUAUUUUAGUACUUCAAAGUCCAGGGAUUAAAGACGUAGAUCAGAAAGAAUAUUGACAAGGAAGAGACCAAUAGUGUGUUUUUUUGCAGCAAAGUGACAAUGUUCUUGAAUCAAGCUGAAGACAAAAACAAACAAGCAAACAAUGGAAAAAAACCUGACUUUUAUACUUUCUAAGUCCCUACAUCCUCAUGUGAUUGAAAGAGAUCUCAGUAAGCACUUCAAACAGUGCCAGUGUGUCCCAUCAUGAUACCCACAUGACAUCCCAGCUCUUUACACCCUGAAGAAGUAAGAUCAUGACUCUGAGGCCAGCUUAAGCUACAAUUUGAAGUGACAAUCUGUCUCAGAAAAAAAAUGUAAAUCAACGUAUAGAUAAAUGCAUAAAUAAGUAUAGAUAGUUACAUACAUAAUGCAUCAUACAUACAUACAUAUAUACAUACAUAAUUAACACACAUUGGUACAAAGCAAGUGGUGACUAAGCAGUAGACAUUUAGACUGUUCCUGUUAUUUUAUUGAUUGAUUGAUUGAUUGAUUCAUAUCUAAUACCUAACCUGCCCAGACAAUGAGUUCACUGCAGGCCUCUCUCAUCCUGGUCACUUCCUUAAUCCUGCCACCUACCCACCUUUCCUCUGACACUUCCUAGCAACAUGUUCUCAGAGUCAUUGUAUUUUUGCACUGUCUCCCUGACUUCUAUUCUAAAAAUAGUACCUGACCACCUAUUCAGAAUGUCCCACCUAUAAUGCCAGCCUUCCUUUAUGCAAUAGUUAGCUCGUUAUCAAAUGGAGCAAUGACUACUUUCCUAUACCCAAGUAAAAGCCUGUCACAGUUUCAGCAGCUGCUGUGCAAGGGACCUUGUGUUGUCUUUACAAUUCCAUUCCUAUGAAUUUUGUCAUUUUCAAAUGUCCAAUUUUUCUUCUCUCCUUCUUUUCAUGUCAGCCUAGAUUCCCAUGACAGACAGACUAUGAGGCAUUCGGACCUAUGACUAGUCCUCCAGGAACACUGGCCCUGAGCCACAGGACCAUCUGGAAAGAGCUCAGUCUGGUCCCAUUUGCUCUUACCCAGCCUUGCUUACACCUUACCCCCAGUGGAUUGUGUUGAAGGCCUGGAAGAAUCCUGGCAAGGUCACAGUGUUUCAUUCUGCUGUCGGUUUAAAUUAGGUCUGAGCUUUUAUGUCUAAAUCAAAAUACCAAAAAUAAAAUGGAAAGAGAGGGAGGGAGACAUCAGAGAGACAAGGUAACAUCCUACACCAAGUGGAGAAAUGACAUUUCAAUUGGCCAGUUGAUCUGUUCCCUUGACAGAUGUCCCUCACUCACUCCAAACCAGUAUUUUACAUGUAUAACCCCGUGACAUACUCCAACUCAUCCAAGAUUGUAAUACAUACCUUUUCUGAAAAAAUAGGGGAAGAAAAUUUUGCAAAAACAGCAGAAACACACCACAAAGUAAUACAUUUUAAAAUAGUACUAUGUUGAAUAUAACAACUUAAGGUGAGAUCAACUAUCCGUCACUAUUAUCACAUCUCCUUUAUGCUGAGAUUCUCUCCCAGCGGAAUUAAUAUUACACUAGAUAUCGGUCUUUUUCAGAACAUAUUUCAGUCUAGCAAGUGUUUAGCCCUAGUUAGUAGGCUCCCACUUCUAUCGCUUAUC